UCUGAAAAGAAUGCAACCUUCAGGCUUUUAAAAGUUCAGCUUUGCUGAUAUGAUCUAGCAAGGAAAAGGCUACUGUGAUCUGUGAUGGCUUACCCCUGUCAUUCCAGCACUCAGAAAGCUGAGGCAGGAGGAUCUCAGGUUUGAGGCAAGCCUGGGAUGUUUAGUGAGACCCUGUCUCAAAACAACGAUAAUUACAACAGUAUUGAGACAGACAUCAUGUUUCAGGUCAGGAUUGAGUGGGUGGUCCUAUUUAGGUGAUAGAUGUUUGUCCUUUUGGGGUGUGAAUGUCGAAUUGUGAUGUCUUCAUGAUGCUGUGGUACCCAUGUGACAUGAUGUGUGAGAGAGAAGCUUUACAAUGUCUGGGUUGGUGUGUUGGUGUGUGUGUGUGUGUGUGUGUGUGUGUGUGUGUGUGUGUGUGUAGGAUACUGGACCUGGAAUGUAAGAUUUAUUUAGGUUAAAAAUGAAUUCUGAAACACCCAUAUUCUCUCUUUCUCACUCAUGGCUAUUUAUAGAGAGGCCACUGUCUGGAUUCUUCCAGAAGGCAGUAGGCUAAAAUGCUUAACAGGAAAGGAUGAAGACACUCUUGGAUGUCUCUACCUUCUAGACAGUUCCUUCUUGUAUAAGACUUGGGAAGUUCAUACCAAGAGCUAGUGAGCAGCCUGGGGAAUUUGAAUCGCAUGAUCAUUGUUCACUGUGGUGGGCAGAAAUUUCACUUUCUGUUUCACGUGUUCACUGGCUGAGACACUUGAAAUGAGGCCUGAGGUACCAUCAACACAUGGGCUACAGGGAACCGGCCUGCACUGGGUCCUAGAAGAUGAUGUAGAAGACUUUACUAAGGUCUUUUCCAUCUUUCAUUUUCAAGGUUCUAAACAUGUUGGCUGUCUAUAUGGCAUUGGAUUGCCUUUUCAGGCAUAUGGGUUGCUUUUGAAAGUACUCAGUAGAGAGAUUUGGCUUCUCGUCGCCAUAACUCCAUGAGCCACACUUGAGACUACCUGAGAGCUACACUUCCAUAUUUCUUUCCACUACCUUGUGGCAGAGUGGGAAGUUACACACUGCCUUGCGCUGUCUUUCAGAGCGCAGUAACUAAGCACCGUGGUCUCUAUGCCCUGGGACUCUUGCCGUCCUACCUGGUAACACACAAGGACUAGCAAAGGAGGCCUGGAAGGGUGGGCAUUAAGUGGUUCACUACUGUCUUUGGGUUUAGCGCUGAGCUUUUCCUGGAAGGGUCCACUUGCUUUCUUAGCAGAGACGGUAGGUAUGAAGGCCCCAGCCAGACAAGAAUCUAAGGUCGGGGGGAUAAGACUUCCCCUCAAUACUGCCUCCCUGGACCCGAUAGGAAGUCGCCGAUGUGCCUGGGAUGGUGUGAUCUCCUACUCCACAGCUGGCAAACCCAUUUGGGAAAGGACUGUUUUUGGGGAAGAAGACUGGCUGCUUCUUCUGUUGGUAAUUGUUCCCACUGGCUUUCAUCAUGUCCCGCUCCCAGGACGACACAAGGAAACAAUUACUGACAAUAAAAAGAGACAGGGCUAAGCUCGAGGAGAGGGGAAGGGUCCUGGGGAUUUCCAAGUUUUCUCUGCGCUCGGACACGGAGUGUUUCCCACCAUCCCCGGGUGUGGAAAUGAGAACGACGUCAGCUUUUCCGCCCAUAAAACAGGGAUCUUAAUUAUUGCUUGUUUCACAGAAAAUGCUAGAAGGAUGAAUUAGCUGAGACUUUUUUUUUUUUAAUAUAGCACUAUGGAAAGGAGCUCUAUGUUGUAACUGUGAAGGAUCUUUUGGGAUGGUAAAAGGUACCUAAAAAGCAUUUGAAACAGCUAGAAAAGAUCUUGUGAUUCUUGAUGUUCCAAGAUUAAUAUAAUGGAUCUUUCUCUGUCUCUCUCUCUCUCCCCCUCUCUUUGUCUCUUUGUCUCUCUGUCUCUCUCUAUUUCUCUCUCUCUCCCCCCUCCCUUCUCUCUUUGUGGUAUAUGGACAUGUUCAUAGUUUGUUUUUUUUUUUUUUGAGAUAGAGUCUCUCACUGAACCUCAACUGAAGAAAUAUUUCAAUCAGAUUGGCCUGUAGGCAACUUCCUCAGUGAAUGACAGACGUGGGAGGGCCCAGUCCACUAUGGCAGCGACAUCUAUGGGGAAAAUGGUCCUGCCCUGUAUAAAAAAGCAGGCUGAGCAAGCCAUGGGGAGCAAGCCAGUAAGCAGCACUCGUCCACGGCCUUGGCUUCAGUUCCUACCUCCAGGUUCCUGCUUUGUUUUCCUGCUCUGAUUACCUUCAUGAUGGCCUAUAAGAUUCAAGAUGAGAUAAACCCUUUCCUCCCCACCUUGCUUUUCAUCACGGUGCUGAUGACAGAGAUAGAAAGCAGCCCAGGACAAGGCCUCUAUCCUUUUGUUGCGUGUCAUCUCGUGUGGAAGAAUCGCUGGCCUGCAGGAGCAGGCCAGCUUCUUGGAGUUCUGUUUCCAGCCUGCCAUUCUCUAAAAGAGCCCUGUUCAUGGUUAGAAAGGUUCUCGCCUUCCUCCCAGCUGGCCCCUGGCUCUCCUCAGCCUUCGAGUCAGGCCCACCUCCUCCCCCAUCUCCUGCUAAAGCAGUUUCAUCAGGAUUCUGCAAGCUUCCUGUGUAACCCCCUCUCUUAAAAAAAUCUGAAAAUGAAACAAGACAUAUUUCUGAGGUUGUCAGCAGGUAGAUCCACUGGCUUGUGGUAAGUACUCUCUCUGGGAGGAGCGCUCGGUUCUGAUGUCUGUGUUGAAUGCUCUGUGGCUCCCCCUCGGCCGCCCCCCGUGUAUGCCUGUUCACUGGGCAGGGGUGGCGGUGAUAAUAUUGUUUCUAACAACCAGACUGAAGCGUAGCCUCAGGCUGUCUUGCAAAGCCCCCUCCAAACAGCGUCUAAUUAAUUUUUACCCUGCCAUUCCAAUGAGUCCCGGGAGUGUAUCGGCCCCACAACAAAACCCCCUCAUCUAGUGGUUUGGAGACAGCUUUGACGUAACACUUGGUGGGUCUUAGAUCUCCAAAAGAGAAACCACUGUAGAAAAAAAAAAUUAAGGAAUCUGUCUCCUUCUAGUCUCUCUACCCCACUUGAUAUUUGUUUUCCUUUGGCUUCCCUUCUUCUUUCCCCUCAGUGAUCAUUAAUCUGAUCUCUCCUGGACUCCCUUCUGCCUGUGGCACUUUCAGAGAGAACCCUGGAGCCACAUAUAUACAUAUAUAUAUAUAUAUAUAUGUGUGUGUGUGUGUGUGUGUGUGUGUGUGUGUGUGUAUGUAUGUGUGUGUGUGUACAUGUAUGUAUGUAUAUAUAUACAUGUAUGUAUGUAUAUAUAUAUACAUGUAUGUAUGUAUAUAUAUAUUUAUUUUAUUUUAUUUUUUUGCUGUAGGAGAAUCUCGUAUUCUCUAGAGUCUAGGGUUAGGUAAUUGCAUGGGGCUGCCCUGAGAACCUUACUAGGUUUAAAAAGACAGGAAAGAGAGCAGGCAGCUGGCCUGAUUGGCUUUCAUCUGCAGUGUGGCCAGGUAACACUGGAAGCAAGGGAGAGGCUUGUUGAAGAGGCCUCUUACCCGCCCAUCACAUCAAAGCUGCAGUACCCCAGUAUCCCCUCCCUUCCCCUGGAAGCGUUCACGGAGGAGGCUCAGUCUCACUGUCUGGCUGUCCAAGCCAAGCCCCUAGAGGCUGCCUAGGUUGCUUUCUUUCUCCCUCUUCAGGGAGUUGGAGUUGGGUCAGGGGCUUCCAACCUAGCGCUGGCCCACGCCUCUCUCUGCGGCUCCAGGCUUUUCCCUCCCAAAACUCACAUUUCCCUGCGCAGUCCCCAAAUACUGUCUAACCCUCCCCCCGACCCCUUUCAGCACCCACUGAAACCCCUUUUCAUCCACACAGGCUGCUUAUCUUUGGACCUUGGAAUGAAUUAAAAUUCACAAAAGCGACCCUUUAGCAAGGUAUUCAGAGAUGCUGCACUCUAAACCGGCAGUGGGCAGAGGCUUCCUCGGAUUUCAGGACCGAGAGAUUGAGUGACUGCUCUGUUCUCAAGGACCCCCGCCGAGGGGACUGAUCUCCUGCGAACCUCUUGGGUGCUAAUUUCACCAUCGCUGGGUGCCAAAGUCAUUCCCUUGGGACCACUUGACUUGGCACCUCCUGAGAAAUGGGGUCAUUGUUCCUAAUGAGCUGGAGCAGUCUGGCUCCUUGAAAUGAGUUAAUCACAGAAUUGCAGGCCUAGGAAAGAUGUCUUUGAUGGCUGGCUUCUCUGUACCCGGUCCAAAGAGUGAGAGCCAAUCCUAUUUUAGAAGACACCCAUGGAGUCACACACUCCAGUGACUAAUCGCUUUUAAUUGUCCUCUUUAACUUGAUCCUCAUGAACUGGUGAGAUUCCUGUUUGCACCUUCCUCAGGGAAGGGAAAAGGCAUUGCUUACCAAUCAGACCGUUUAUAUUCUCCUCCUCCUCUUCUUCCUCUUCUACUUCCUCCUCUUCCCUUUCUUCUACUACUUCUUCCUCUUCCUCCUCUUCCUCCUGUCUACUGGGGUUAUAGUGUGGCCUGCUGACUAAAAGGAGAGUCAGACAUAUCUGAGUAACUUGCCAACUAUGAGCUGCGUGGUGGUGGCACACGCCUUUAAUCCCAGCACUUGAGAGGCAGAGGCAGGCUUGUCUCUGUAAGUUCGAGGCCAACCCGGUUUACAGAGCAAGUUCCAGGACAGUCAGAGCUACACAGAAAAACCCUGAUUCUAACAAACAGAACAAAAAGGACUAAAAAAAACAAAGCAAAACAAAACCAAAAACCCAAAACAACAACAAAAAAAAUCAAAACAAUCAAACAACUUACUCUUCCUCCUUGAUCUACAAAUCAGAAGGUACCCUUUGUAAAGGAGUUCGAUGCAUGUGGGAUAGCCCCCUUCCCCUGGGUCUCACAUAGCUCAGGUUGAUCUUGAACUCAUUACUUAGCUGAGAAUGACCUUGAACUUCUGGUCCUCCUACCUGUAUCUCUGCUUCCCAAGUGAUGGGAUUAUAGGCACAUACUGCUAUGCUCUGGUUAUGUGGGGCUCUAGCCAAGGGGUUUGUGCUAGGUGAGUACUCUAUCAGCCUAGCUCAUCCCAGCUCGGUCCUUCUUCUUUAAUGUCAAGUGAUAUGUUUGUAAAGAACAGUGGGAACACUGUCCCAGGAGCCCAGAGAGACUUGGGCACUACACAUGGUGGCUAUAAACCAGUCCUUUCACCUUGGCUCAGCAAGUGAAAGAGAUUGAGUUCAAGCCUGAGUUCAUUCUAUAGGAGCCACUUGGUUGGAGGAGAGAACAGACUCCUGUAAGAUGUCCUCUGGUCUCUAGACAUAUAUAGUAUGGCAUAGAUACCAUUUUAACCUCUAUUUCUAGAAUACCCUGCCUUGAGGUAUGCCAUUGCAGUUAAUUAAAAAUAUAUAUACAUUUUUACUUACUGAUUUGUGUUUGUGUGUGUGUGUGUGAGUGAGAGUGUGAGUGUAUGUGAGUGUGUGUGUGUGUGUGUGUGUGUGUGAGAGAGAGAGAGAGAGAGUGUGUGUGUGUGUGUGUGUGUGUGUGUGUGUGUCUUAAGUUCGUGAGCAGAGGACAAGUUUUUCUGAAGCCUUAAUUUUUAAAGAACUCUUGAUGCUGAUCUAUGGUACUGAGAACAUAAGCACUACACAAUCUAGUUUGGUUUCUGUGUGUGAACGUGCACACACGUGUGCACACAUAUAUGCGUGUAGCUGCACGUAUGUAUGGAGGCUGGAGAAUGACCUCGGCUGCCAUUCCUCUGAAGCUAUCUAUCUUGUUUCUCUUCGGCCCAUUAGGAGAGCCUAUCUAGUCAGAGAGCUCCAGGAAUCAGCCUGUCUUUUAUCUCUUUCCAGGGCUGAGAUUCUAAACGUGCACCGCACUGCCACACCAAGCUUCUUACGAGUAGGUUCAGGGGAUUAAGCUCAGGUCCUCGUGCCUAUGGCAAGCGCUUUACCAGUGGAACCAUCCCCCUUCCCCUUCCCCCCUCCCCCUGAGUUUUGUUUCUUUAUGCUAGUGUUCAGUUAAUGGGGAUAGAGAGGGGAAGAAGAUGGCGAUAGAGACCAUGCUAUCACAGACUGGAAAGGGAUGGGUGACAGGAAAAGCAUGCUGGGUAAGGCAGUUAUGCAAAUGUCAAGAACAGAGCCAAGGAUGUCCCUUUCCCAUUGACUGUCUUUGUAGAGCUCCCUCAUUGCUUCGUAUAUACUAGGUACUCAAUAAAUCAAUGGAACAGCAACAAGGAGAAUCCAUCUGAUAGCACAGGCUUUGAAAUGAAUGUCCGACACAGAAGCGGAUUUCAAAUGGGCUAUGAUCUUGGCAUCUUCCACCAUGAUCACUUCUUUCCCCGGGAAUUCCCUUCCCACCUCCAGCCCCUUUUGUAGUUUAAAUGCCGUUUACAGAUCUUCAUUGGCUGUAAGCUUCAGAAACCCUACCCCAAGUGAAGUAGCUAGAGCUUCCAGCUUGAGGUGGCGUAGUGGGUAUGGGGAGAACCAUCCUUACGUCUGCACUAUGAGUGACUAGGCGGAAUUGUAGCCCAGUGGGGUCGGAGGCCACUGUGCACCCAGGUCUCCACACUCUCCCAACCUAACCUGAGGCUGUGACUGAGGCUGAUGACGUCUUAUUAGUAGAUGACAGAUAGCUGCUAAACUUUCUUCUAUGGAGAAUAAUUUCUGAAUAGGGGAUGGAAAGUACAGAGUUAAAAAAGAAAAGAAGAGGCACCCAUUUUAUAAUCCGUAUCUCAUAGGCACAUCAGCCCAGGAAGGCAAGUGUUAUCUUACUCCAAGGUAGAUGGUGAGUCUGAAUGCCAGGGAGUUUCGGGAUGAUUAUAUCCCAUGAUACAUCAGGCACGAAGCAAUGGCACCUAGCCCAACGUAAGGAAUGAACUUGUAUAGGUAUCCCUUAAGAUAUAACUGCUUGGAAUGAGUUUUGGAGAGCACUCCACCCCAUUAAUUCGGGUUGCAUUCCUGAAAUGGUCACAUGUCAUGAACCUUCAGCAACAUGCCUUGAAUAAACUGAGAGCCAAGGUCCAGAGAUGAUGGAGGGCUUUCAUAGGGCAAUGGAGCUGGGACACCGGUAUUAAUAUGGCGCCCCCUAGUGUUUUUGUGGUGGUAGCGUGACUUGGAAUCACACCAGCAUACUGGUCUAAAUAGGGCCUCCUCAUGGUCUUCUGAUUGAAGGAGAUCCUGCCUAUCACGACCGUUUACAUCUUUUAAACCGUCAUGUUAAACAAAAUUCUCUUCAACUUUAAUGCCUUUCCCCCCCUGUCCAGUAUCCAUUUCCAGCCUGUGCUGAGUAGAACCCAGUCUUCACAUUGUUUUCCCCUCAUUGUGUGUGGCCUCCUAAGUACUUCAAGGAUCAAGACAUACCGAUUCAUUAUUGUGACUGCGAUGUUAUAAGCAAUGGAUAAUGGCGUCAGUAGAUGAAUCGUUGGAGGAGGUACGAAGAUCACGAGUCCACUAGAGAGGGAACGCCAGCUACUCCCUUUUCGCAAAGGAUGAAAAAAAUUGGUGAAUCUCAUCGCUCCAACAAGUACCUUGGGAGGCCAUGGUGGGUGGAGAACACCACACUAGUGUGCAUGCUAAGACAGGGAGAGGAAUGGAUCUAACUCUAGGACAGCGUUACCAUGGUCUUGCUUAUAGUUUAAUGGAGCCAGUGAGGUGGUGCAGCAGACAAAGACACUUGUCGCCAAGCCUGAGGACCUGAAUUCUAUCCCUGAGACUCACGGUAUGCGAAGAGAU